CGCCACCUGCGGUGUUCGUGAUUUUCCGUAGACGCCUUAGAACCUAAUAUUACAUAUUGGGGACCACUAUUGUAGGCACUGUUGUGCACGUCCGGGUCAACCGGAAAGCCUGAUGUUCCUCGUAGGUCCCCACUUGAACCGUCUGGUUCAAGGUAGACGGGGUUCACGGCACAGGUGGGGGGCGC
rnacentral:other from 1 species